rnacentral:rRNA from 1 species
UUUUACAAAACAUGUCCUUUUGUUAUAAUAUAAGGUCGGGCCUGCCCAAUGAUUAUAAGUUUAAUGGCCGCAGUAUAUUAACUGUGCAAAGGUAGCAUAAUCAAUUGUCUUUUAAUUGAGGACUAGUAUGAAAGGUUUGACGAGGGGUGAGCUUUCUUUAUUAUAAAGAAUGAAUUUUAUAUUUAAGUUAAAAGGCUUAAAUGUUAUUAUGGGACGAGAAGACCCUAUAGAGCUUUAUAAUUAACUUUCUUAAACUAAUUAGUUUAUAAUAGAAUAGGAGAAUUUAAUUAUUUUGUUGGGGUGACAUAUAAAUUUAUAUAACUUUGUAUUUAAAUAGUCAUUAAUUAGUGUUUGAUUGAUCCGUUUUAACGAUUAUAAGAUUAAGUUACCUUAGGGAUAACAGCGUAAUUUUAUUGGAGAGUUCUUAUCGAUAAUAGAGUUUGCGACCUCGAUGUUGGAUUAAAAUAAGUAUUAGGUGUAGCAGCUUAAAUACUAAGUCUGUUCGACUUUUAAAUUUUUACAUGAUCUGAGUUUC